rnacentral:rRNA from 1 species
AUGAAGGGGGGCAGCGGCGGCGGCAAGGAGUCCGCCACCGGCUCCUUCCUCCGCUUCCUCCUCCUGCUCCUCCUCCCCCUCACCGCCCUCUAUUUCUUCUACACGCUCCACCUCCUCCUCGCCUCCGCCGCCUCCUCGUCCGCCGCCUCCUGCCCGCCGGACCCCACCGCGGUCUCCUCCCGCGUCUCCACCAACCGCACCGCCGCGGCGGUGGUCGACAAUAAGGCCGCCCCCGCGGCGGCGGCGGCGUCCACGGCCACGACGCUGCAGCACGUGGUGUUCGGCAUCGCGGCCUCGUCGCGGUUCUGGGACAAGCGCAAGGAGUACAUCAAGGUGUGGUGGCGCCCGCGCGGCGCCAUGCGCGGCUACGUCUGGCUGGACCGCGAGGUGCGGGAGUCCAACAUGUCCACGGCGCGGACGGGGCUCCCGGCCAUCAAGAUCUCCUCCGACACCUCCGCCUUCCCCUACAUGCACCGCCGCGGCCACCGCUCCGCCAUCCGCAUCUCCCGCAUCGUCUCCGAGACCUUCCGCCUCGGCCUCCCCGGCGUGCGCUGGUUCGUCAUGGGCGACGACGACACCGUCUUCUUCCCCGACAACCUGCUCACCGUCCUCAACAAGUUCGACCACCGCCAGCCCUACUACAUCGGCUCCCUCUCCGAGAGCCACCUGCAGAACAUCUACUUCUCCUACGGGAUGGCGUACGGCGGCGGCGGGUUCGCCAUCAGCAGGCCGCUGGCGGAGGCGCUCGCGCGGAUUCAGGACGGCUGCAUCAGCCGCUACCCGGCGCUCUACGGCAGCGACGACCGGAUCCAGGCGUGCAUGGCGGAGCUGGGGGUGCCGCUGACCAAGCACCCGGGGUUCCACCAGUACGACGUCUACGGGGACCUCCUGGGCCUCCUCGCGGCGCACCCGGUGGCGCCGAUCGUGACGCUGCACCACCUGGACGUCGUGCAGCCGCUGUUCCCCAACGCGCCCGCGCGCCCUGCGGCGGUGCGGAGGCUGUUCAGCGGGCCCGUGAAGCUGGACCCGGCGGGGAUAAUGCAGCAGUCCAUCUGCUACGACGGGGCGAACCGGUGGACGGUGUCGGUGGCGUGGGGGUUCGCCGUGCUGGUGUCGAGGGGGGUGACCUCGCCGCGGGAGAUGGAGAUGCCGGCGCGGACGUUCCUCAACUGGUACCGGCGCGCCGACUACACGGCGUACGCGUUCAACACGCGGCCCCUGGCGCGCACGCCGUGCCACAAGCCGGCCGUGUACUACCUGUCGUCGGCGCGCAGCGCGGAGGCCGCCCGCGGCGGGGAGACAACGGUGACGCGGUACGAGCGGUGGCGCCCCGCGAACGAGACGCGGCCCGCGUGCCGUUGGAACAUCACCGACCCGGACGCGCAUCUCGACCACAUCGUCGUGCUCAAGAGGCCCGACCCCGGGAUAUGGGACCGGUCACCGAGGAGGAACUGCUGUAGGGUGCUGUCGUCGCCGAAGGUGGGGAAGGAGGGGAAGAAGACGAUGACCAUCGACGUGGGCGUGUGCAGGGACGGCGAGUUCAGCCAAGUACUCUAG